GCCCCUCCCGCCCGGCUCGCCCGCUCGCUCGGGCUCGGCGCGGACCCGCCUGGGCGUGCUCCUCCCGCCGGCUCCAGGCGUCCCACCGCCCUGACUCCUGCGGGCGCGCCGGGCACCCAGCGCGGAGGCUCGCCCGCGGAGGUCGCCAAGGAAGUCUGGACCGCCUAGGCGUGUGGCUCGUCUACAGGCAGGUGUUCUUUCGAUCACAAUGGAUAGUGACUCUUCUCUUCUGCCUGAGUGGUUCAAAAUAAUGAAGGAUGAGAUUGGACUUCUCAGUUUGUGUCCAGAACAAGGAUGGAGAGGCUCAGCAGCACCGACAGGACCUCCUCAUGAAAUGGAAGCACAUCCAGGCUGGAGGCCCCUGUGUUCCAGGUGCUGUGUCGGUGCUGACUUGCCCAGUGACUCCAUGAUGGCUUCUGUCCUCGAGGUCACCAUUGACUGAGACAGACUGAGAGGUAAAUGGUAAUGGAAGGACACAAAAGGUACAAGAGUCAGAGGCCAGGCCAAGAGUGCAAGCUGAGCAAGGGGCAAGGAAGGCCUCCCUGAUGGCUGGCUCCAGAACUGGGACUGCAGAAAGAGGAGUUUUCUGGAUAGAAAGGGAUGUGGACCUUCCAGUCAGGUUCAAAUCCACAGAAGCAUGUACACGUGGUAUGCUAGGGGGGCACCACUGCACCACCGGGCAGGCGCAGGCUAGAAAAGAGGCUGCAGGAUCUGGGACUCACUCUAUCCUGGGGCAAUACGGAGUUUAGGAGAGGGUGAGUCAUAUUAGCAUGGAGUUAGCCUGGAGUCAGGAAGAUGAGUUAGGAGGUCUGACAGUCGAUUGAAGUAAAAUUAUUCAUUACAGAACAGCACUGUGUAUGUCCCUAAAAUACUAGGUGCCAUAUUUAUUCUCUUGAGGGAUUCAUCUGAGCAGUUAGAAAAGAAUAGCUGGGCCAUUGAGUCUUGGUUGAAAUGAUCCAUUCAUCCAACCAGUAUUCAUCAAGUAUCUCCCACAUGGCCAACGCGGGGGACCCAGGGAUUAGGCUGGAGUCAAGUGGAGAAGACUUCACUCUCAUGCCCUGAGAAGUGCUUUGAAGGAAGAGGAUCAGAUACCUGUAAAGCAUGUGACAGAGGAGUCAGGUCUGGUCUGGGGUUAGGGGUCCAGGAAGUGACUGGAGUUGAAGCCUGAAGGAGUUGGUAUUCAAAAUGCAGAACAGGGAAAGAGGCAUUCCAGGCAGAGGAAGCAGCUUGCAUGAGGGCCCUGGGGUGGGAGGGAGCAUGGUUCAUAUGAGAAGUUAAAAAAGCACAGAGAGAAAGGAGGAGAAGAGGGAGGCUUAGGGGAGGAAGGGGUGUGAGGUUUUGCCAUGCCUGGGCCUACCCUUUAAGGUGCCAAGUCCUUGAAGCAUUUAAAGAUAAAACAUGAUGGCCAUUUGUUGAUGAUUUAUUGAUCUCUCUGUAUCCUCCUGGGCACUGGUGGAUGCUCAACAAAACCAAAAGUAGAGUUGGCUACAGAUGGCGUCUGUUCAUGGCCUCAGCUUCUCACCUAUUCCUGAGUCACCUUUUGCCCCUCUGACACAGGGAUGGGAUAAUGCCAGGAUAUGGGUUUGUGUUGUUUAACUUACUGGAGUUUGUACAGGUUUUACCUGGUGCCAGCAUGACCUUCCCAUGUACUCUCUUGGUCAGCAAUUCACAGUCUCCUUGCUUUAUUUUACAAGGAGCUAAUCCUGCUUUCUGGAACUUGCUCAUUCUCAAAGUGAGUGGUGGUUGGUCCCCAAGACAGUCUACAGAAAUUCCAGAAUUUCAGGUCUCUACCUAAUGCUUGGAAAACCAACCAUUAGUCAACACCAAUGCUCAUCAAAUAUGCACAUUUAUGUAGUAUUUUCUGCAUGCCCAGUUUUCUGAUCUUAUUAUUAUACUCUUUUGCAGAUAAUAAAAUCGAGGCCCAGAAAGGUUCAGUGGUUUGCCCUAGAAACACAGGUAGGAAGAAUUAGAGUCAGAGUGCAUACCCAGACCCACCUGUUUCCAAAGUCCCAGCACUUAACCAUGGUGCCACACAACUGCCCACUCAUCUACACUGCAUGUCCAGAGAACAGUCUCCCAGCCUGCAGGGCCGGAGGUGUGGACUUAGCAUUUGCUCCGGGCUCACCUUCACAGAUGAGCAAUCUGAACAGGAGAGGCACCUGGACUUGUCCACGUCCACCAGGGAAAGGCAGCUACGCUGGAGCUGUGUCCCCUCUCCACCCUGGCUCCUCCUGCUGCUCAUUGACUGCGUGAGUGCCUUCAUCCUACAGAACUUCCCAUUCCUGACCCAGUGAGGAGAGAUAGAUGAUGACCCUCAUGGAGUGUGAUAAAGAUUCAAGUAUUUCAGGAGUGUGAAAUACCUAGAAUGUCUGGCACUUCUGCCUCAGUACACAGUAGCUGACAUCUGGUCGCAUGUCCUUCCUGGGAACCUGGCAGGAAGAACCUGGCCUGGGAACCUAGCUUCCCAGCCUGGGAUUCUGUGGGCCACAGAGGCCCGGUGUAGAGAUUAUAGCCUAACAUCCCAGCAGAGAUUCUUUGAUUGCAGAUAGGAAAAUCCAGACAUUUCUGAACUCCAAGGCCACGGUGAUUCACAUGACCUGGUGAUUAUGAUUGAUGAAUUACUCAAAGUUUCUGCUUCCCCCAACUCUCCGACUCUGGCAAGAACUUUGGCAGAACUUCUAUGCCACAUCCAGUACUAGGAACUUGCCAAGUUUGUGUCCUUAAAAUAAAGUGGGUUCCAAGAUAGACGGCAGAAAGUGGGAAAUGUGAUUUUUCUUGAUUGGGUAACUAAGAACCACACAGCAGGCAGGAGCCAUUUUGGGCCAAAGAGCUGUUCAUUUAAAGUGUUUAUUGACACCUGAAAAUAGGGAUUAAACUUCAAAUGCUAUUUUCACGUCAAGUUUAUGCUACAUAAUUUCAUAAUGGUGAUGAAAUCCAGGCAGAUACCGAAAGGAGAGUUCCCAAGUGAUCUUACUGCUGGGUUUCCCUAUUACAGACACUCAGGAUCCUGGACCAGCUGAAGCCAGGGGAGGAAGCAACCCGGCAGAUCACCUGCUGAUGGAAAGGAAGGCACCAUGGUAGUUAAGUGUUUCCAUGUUGGCUACCUGGUUUCUUUUCAGCCAGUCUCAGCUUUGACUGGUUUGUAUGACUGCCUCAAAUCUUCGGAGGUCACCCUUACGUUUUAUUUGGAAUGUGUUCCCGGCUCUAGAGGACUGAGUCAGGGAGAUUGCUCUGCAUUCUUACGGGGUUCCAUUUUGACCCUGCUCAUCCUCAGUAGACAUGGGAGCUAUUCCAAGCAUGGACUUGCAGGUUUGGGGACUGUGGACAGCAUACAAAUCAAGAGGUGAGGGACAGCCGAGGCAAAGUUCCUAACCAGAAUUUGCAGUAAGAACCAUCUCUGGUUUCUAUAUUUGACAACACAAUAAUGGGAUUCCCUGCAUUUCUCCCAGAAAAGCAUCAGUGGGGAAAAAACUUUGUUCUGGGAGGUGAAGUCAUCAUCAAAUACUAUGAAGGCCCAUCAGUGGACAUACUCAAGCUGUGGAGGGCUCUGAGCAUUUGUUGAAGACAGAUCUACCAACACACAGCAGCACAGAGGCAUCUCUGUGCCCAUCGGCCCACCCAGAGACCUCCCCAGCAUGGUAUGGUGGGGCAGCUGGUGUUGUGAAUCAGGCCGUUGCCAAUCAGAGAACGGCUACUUCACAACACCAGGGCCGCACCACACUACAGGCAGCAUUCCGGCUCCAGAACCAGCAAGGGCACCCACUGGUGAGGCAGCCACACCCCCGCCACAGAGGACCAUCGGCUCCAGAACCCAGGCAUGUGGCUUUCCGGGUCUGGGCUGGCUGCUGCAUCGCCCCUGCAGACACUGGCUUCCUGAGGCUGCUAUUUAGCCCCCAACACAAACGCUCCACUUUUAAAGAAAAGGCCACUCCUGGUAACAUUAGCUUCCUACAGAGAAAAUGGAGCUACCAGACUUCCCACUGUGAAAAUGAAGUUAUGGGCCAUCAGGAGGGUUCAGCGCCACUCAAUUGAACAUUUCCUCCUAGGUGCUGAAACACACAGUGGUUGCAGAGCUGGGACCUUUGUUUUGAUACUCGGUGAUGGUAGCUUUGAAUAGGCAAAAUAGAGGGAAGGGAGGACCUCGUAAUAGGAUAGGACGGUGGCCUUAGGAGCACUCCUGGAGAGAGGAAGGCUCUUUGUAGCCACAUAUACAGGUGAUGCAUCUAUUUCCUAGAUGGUCCCAGGGUCCCUGGAGAGCAAACACCUUUCUCAGCCAGGGAGAAUUCCACAGCUGUCCAUAAGUGCAUGUCCCAGUGACCUGAGGGCUGGACAAGAACCAAGCAUGGGACUGCUCCUAGGGCACUGAUCUGCCAGACACUCCAUCAGGGGUAAUACUUUCCAUUACUUGUGCUGACAGAUGGGCUUCCUUUCCCCAGGUCCUUAAAGCAUGGACCCAGCAGAGCUGGAAAACUAAUGAGGUCGCUGAGUUGGGGUAGCAUUUUGUGCCUAACUUAAAUCUUAUGUGUGACAUCACCAUUUUUCAGAGCCCAGGCCAGAGUUUUCAAGACGGAGUGGCUAGGUUGGCUAGUGUCGUUUUCAAAACACUAAUAAAAAGGAGAAUGUUCCUCUCUCUUGCUUUCUAUAGGACAGGGAUCCAGAGCCACUCUGAUUAACUUGGGCCCAGUCUGGGUAACCUCAGUGUUUGUAUAAGGUUCUUCCUGCUCUGAAAACCAAAAACAAGCAU